CGCGUGGGAAUAUGCCCUUCUCUAAGGAAUAGCCUCUGGAAACGGAGAGUAAUACCUUAUACGCCCUUUGGGAAGGAUUAUCGAGAGAUAGCCGCGUAGAUAGUAGUGUGGGUAAGUGCCUACCAAGCUACGAUCUAUAGCUGGUUUGAGAGGAUGAUCAGCCACACUGGGGACUGAGACACGGCCCAGACUCCUACGGGAGGGCAGCAGUAGGGAAUCAUCCGCAAUGGGCGAAAGACCUGACGGUGCAACGCCGCGUGAGUGAUGAAGGUUUUCGGUAUCGUAAAGACUCUGUUGACA
rnacentral:rRNA from 1 species